rnacentral:rRNA from 1 species
UGGGGAAUCAUGGUCAAUGGGCGAAAGCCUGAACCUGCGACGCCGCGUGAGUGAUGAAGGUCGUAAGAUCGUAAAACUCUUUUCAGGGAUCUUAAAGCCUGUCUGUCAACAACAGGCAGGUCUGACUCUCCCUGGAAGAAGCCCCAGCCAACUACGUGCCAGCAGCUUCGGUAAUACGUAGGGGGCGAGCGUUAUUCGGAAUUACUGGUUGUAAAGGGUAUGUAGGCGGCCCUUCAAGUCGCGUGUCAAAGUCCAGUGCUUAACGCUGGGUGUG